rnacentral:lncRNA from 1 species
CUUAUUGCCUGCAAGUUAUUGAGUUCUUAUUUUAGUUCCCCUGCCCUUCUAAUGCCACUCUUUGCUUAUCAGUUAUGAGAGCUGGGAUCCUUUACUCAUGAGAAUGUCAUCCUUACUGAUUUUGAAACUACAGGAGAAAACAUGCAUAUUUGUAGUCAAAAGCAUAUAUCUGUUCUACACUAUAUACCCUCUUUCACACAAAGUCUAAUUACUUCUGCUCAGCAGAUUAAUGUCCUUUUGCCUCUGCUACCAGAACAUCUUGCAAAAGGAGACUAAAGGAAUGGAUGAAGAUAGAAUGAGCACUAGAUUCCCACAAACAUUGUCCACGGAGAUUCUGAAGUCCUAAACUGGAAGAGAGGAGGAUAUCUUGUGUGGGGCUCCAACCAGAUAUCUCUACACCUACCCUGGAGAUAUUGUAAAUAUUUUUCAUAAAGGGGAAGCUUCUAAUGAGAAUCCUACUAUACUACAGAUUUGCAUGGAGUACUCGAAGGCCUGCUUAUUUGAGAAACAAGAAUAAAUCCACUCUAUUUCAUUAGAAUGACAAUAGGAUUAAUUCAAAGUUUUCAUUUUCUACUCAUAGGAACCAGGAAAAUUUUCAAAUAAUAUUCUAAUUAUACUUUGUGAUAAAACAUUUUGAGACGCUGUGUGGCUCCUCGAGCACCUACAAGUUCGACAUGUGUGAAAACUGAGACCUUAAAAAUUUGAUAGCAUCCCUCCGACAUCAGAUAAGCCACAGGUAACUCAGCAUUAGACUAAGGAUACAGUUCUGAAAUAUUUACUACCAGUUGGAAUGUUUAUUAUGGAUGUUGUUUCAGCAUAGUCAAGAAGUUUGAUCCCUGGCUCCCUUGGAGAAAUUGUACAAACACAGACAUGGUCCUGUGCCCUCCCCCCAGCAAGAGCAUGCUAUUAAAUUAAAAGAGCAUGUAUUUAAUUCAGGAGGUAUUUCAGACCUGUUUUAAACUUGGCUGGCUAACAAGCAGAAAAGAUAACUAACAACUAAAUAGCACUUUCUCUGAGCAAAGUGAUUGCGUUGUUGUGCUAAUAAUUUCCAAGUCCUUCUGUAGGCUAUGGUGAUUCAUAUCCUUCUCUGGAUUGCUGCUGCCCAGCAAGUUAUUUUGCACUUAAGCACUUGAAUUUCUUUUUUUGAGUGCAAUAUUAUUAUAAUUUUAUAUUAUAAUUUCUUUUGAGUGCUCAGUCCUCCUUAAGGUUAGCUAAAUUCAGUGAGUUAUUUCCAGUGAAAUAAUUUAGAAUUGUAUUUCUGCCUUGUAAAUUCCUCCUUUCCAUUCUGGUAUCAUCUGUUAAUGGCUGUACUUAAUUUUCAAUCACUGAUGGAAUUGUUCAGUGGCUUAGUAGUUUUAACAGCUUUUUAAAGGAGUCUGUAUGCUCCCAGACUGACCAUCAGCAUGUACUCUGAAUACAGGGCUGGUUAAGUGUUCACAUUCCAGCAAUUAGAUUUUGACUAUAUUUAAGCUGUUUGCUCAGAAGAAUGUUAACGUACACAGUGGCAAUAACUUGCUAAUAUCUAUCAUUCCUCCUACCCACAAAGUUACUUAAUUUGUCAAAGAAGAAAAUUAGAUUAAUUCAUACUGUUUAUUCCUGACAUGUCUCUCUGCUGGUUAUUCUUCUUUCACCUUAUUGACCUUCAUUAUUUACAAAUUGAUGAGUCAUGUGUUUCACUGUCUUUCAGGCAUACUGUCCUCAUUACAGUUGAUGCUCCUUCGUAGAGCUCACUCAGGUGUGUGUGCUCAGCCUUAGCUCUACCCACCUCAGCCAUGAAUUGCAGCUUCUACUUUUUCAAUCCUUUGGAUUCUGUUCUUAAUUUUUUGGGGAGUCUCCUUUCGGUGUUUCUUUCUUUCCUUUUAAAUAUACCUAUCCUCCAAAAGGUGGAAUGUUGUACAGUGAAGCGUGGAGAACACAAAAGUUCAUUUAGCUGCUGUCUGAAUUUUCUGAUGUGGCUGCAGUGAAACUUUUGUUCUUCCAUUGACGAAUAUCUGUAAUUGCUUUCUUUCACCAUGUCUUCCUGUUACAACUUUUUCCCAUCUUUCACCUCUGUGGGAAUACUUUCCCUGUUGGUUUUGAAAGAUGCUUCUGCAGGCAACUGGGGCAGCAACUGGGCAGCCACGGAGCUCUCUGUGGGAGCCAGGUUUGUGCUUCAGGAAUGGUGCUAUCUCGGGUUUGACCGGAGGCCUCGCCCUCAGACAGAGUAAGGACGUGGGGAGCUCUCCCGUUAAAGAAUGUGGAUCACAAAAGGAGAGUUGUGAUGUGCUGGGAGGGGAGUCGCUCAGGAAAAUCAAUCUGAAUGAAUGAAAGGUAUGCUUCAAAGGUAGGCAUGGUAGAAAUCAAUCGAGCCCCCCAAAGAGGAAUAAAAAUUGAUUUUCUUUGGACUUUAGUAUAUGUCUCUUUGAAAACAAAGUCUAUUAAAUUAAGACCAGCCUAGAUUUUGAAUCAGCCAUGCACAGAGCAGUUCAGAAACAUUUAAAACUUUAAACAUUGACUCAGAUUUUCAGAAAACUGCUAUAUAAAAAGUGGUUUGUUAUUUCUUUUCCUUCUGUCCUCGGCAACGCUCGGUAUGCUGUUGGUACUUGAAAGAAAUAAUGAAUAGUACUGAACGGUUACAUUUGUGUUCUCUGUAUUUUCUCUGCCUGGAGUUGAAAGAUAAAGGAUUUUAGUAGAGGCAUGAAAGCAAUAUUUUAGAUUACAUAUUUUAAUUUUUUUUCUUCCUGUUGCCUGCUAGAAAGUUGCAAAAUCCUUCCUAAAUCCCUUGUAAAGACCUAAAACAAUCAACAGGAGUAAAGAGUCGAAAGCAUUCAUACACAGUAGAUGACAUCUUCUCUUACAGUCACUGAAUUCUUUCUGCAUCAGCUAAACCUCGAGCAUCCCUGCGUCUCAGUGAGUCCAGCAUGUGAAAGCUGUACAACAAUCACAUUUCAUGAACAAAUGGAUCAAAAAAAUAGAAUACUUUUUUUUAGUAGAUGCAUACAUUUUAGACAUUUUCAUUUUGGCUCACGUUCCACAGCAAGAGAAGUCAGGAAUAAGUUUGCUGGCUUCCACCUGGGCAGAUAAACCUGGAUCUAGGAGAGUGUUUCCGAGGGGAGAAUUUGUCUUCUUGGUAACCAGGAAAGGGAAAGCCUCUUGCAGGGAUUGUGCAGCAGAGACCCCAGGGAUGAAGAGCCUCAGCUGGACGCAGCCAUAUGGAAGGAACUAGGGACUCCCUGGAGCAUUUACACACCACACCUUGCUGGAGGCUUCAUCAUCCAUCCCUGCUGGGGGCAGAAAGAUAAAUCACUUUCACCUAUUGCUGAGGUCUCAGGAACACGUUGUAAAUCGCAUAGAGCUGCAUGCACAAAGAAGGAAAACUAAAACCAGUUUAGUUAGAAACCGUAUGCACAUACAUUUUCCUAGGAAUGCUGAAGAUGCAACAACAAUAAACAACAGAAUUUAACAGGAACAUUGUGUGUAUUCAUAAUACAACUUUUGGAAUCUGAUGGUAAAGAGCAGCGCUCAUGCUGCUACUCGACAUAUUUUUAUGUAUGAAAUAACACUUGCUCAUUUAAUUUUCAAAAAUAAUUCAUGGGAGAUUCUGGUGUGCUUCACAUGAAAGCUGUAACUGAAGGAAACGCCAAGAAAAUCCUCUUCCUCCGUCAGCAGUGGGAGAAACAAAACACAAGACCCUCGGUGAGAAGCCGGAGAUGUGUACAGAGUGCAGCAGGCGACGCUUCAGCCCGCUCCCUUCCUCUCCCUCCAGGCACAACACACGCAGACAUCGCGGCGGACCCCAGCCCCGUUCUCUCUCUCCGUUUGACACCCGGAGGCCGCGUGAGAAAGUCCCCGCAGAACUCCUGGCGGGGGGAAGCCCCACGCUCUCAGGGGUGCUGCCCCUCCCGACGCCGCCUCCGCGCUCGCCCAACUUUCAUUCAUUGUUGGCGUCGCCGCCGG